AGCAGCCGCGGUAAUUCCAGCUCCAAUAGCGUAUAUUAAAGUUGUUGCAGUUAAAAAGCUCGUAGUUGAAUUUCGAGAUCGGUUUACUGGUCGUGCUUUUGUACGUACUGGUAUUAUCGGUUUCUCCUUUCUGACGAACCAUAAUGCCAUUAAUUUGGUGUUUUGGGAAAUCAGGACUGUUACUUUGAAAAAAUUAGAGUGUUUAAAGCAGGCUCACGCUUGAAUACAUUAGCAUGGAAUAACGGAAUAGGACGUUUGAUUCUAUUUUGUUGGUUUCUAGGAUCGACGUAAUGAUUAAUAGGGAUAGUUGGGGGCAUUAGUAUUCAAUUGUCAGAGGUGAAAUUCUUGGAUUUAUUGAAGACUAACUACUGCGAAAGCAUUUGCCAAGGAUGUUUUCAUUAAUCAAGAACGAAAGUUAGGGGAUCGAAGACGAUCAGAUACCGUCGUAGUCUUAACCAUAAACCUAUGCCGACUAGGAAUCAGACGAUGUUAAUUUUUUAAUGUAACUCGUUUUGGCACC
rnacentral:rRNA from 1 species